AUGUCCGAUGGGUGGACCGAUGGGAGGACUAGGCACUUGGUCAACUUCCUUGACAAUAGUCCGGCCGGGACUUUCUUCAUUGAUAGCGUUGACAUAUCAGCCCUAGUAGCCAGCAAAGAAUUGUUGGCAGAUUUGAUGGAGAAAAGGAUCAACGACAUUGGAAGAGGCUACGUGGUUCAGAUUUGCACGGAUAAUGGUGGUAACUACAAGGCAGCGGGUAGACUCUUAACGGAGAGGAUCCCUACAUUAUGGUGGACCCCUUGUGCAGCCCAUUGUUUGAACCUUAUGUUGGAGUCCAUUUGCAAAAUCAAGCAAUUCAGCGAGUGUAUUACAAAUGGAAAAAGGGUGUCUACAUUCAUCUACAGGCAUGGAAAGGUUUUAGAUGAAAUGAGAGUGAAGACCGGCAACCGUGAUCUUGUGAGGGCUGGAGCUACUCGCUUUGCCACAAAUUUUCUCAACUUGCAAAGCUUGCACAAACAUAGGCAAGCUCUCAAAGAAUUGUUUGUGGGUGAUGUUUGGCAUAGCAAUAAGAAGUUGUCAACCUCACCGGUGGGACAAAAAGUUCAAGAAGAUGUGUUGUCCAUUAGUUUUUGGAACUCCGUAGAGACUUGCAUGAAAGUUUCUCUACCUCUUCUAAGGGUGCUAAGGAUUGUUGAUGGCGAUGAGAAGCCGGCGAUGCCCGAGGUUAUGGCAGCAAUGGAUUAUGCAAAGGAGAGAAUCAAGGCUGCGAUAGAUGACAAACCAACGUUGGUUAAGAAGGUGAUAAAAAUAGUAGAGGACAAGUGGGAAUCUCAAAUGGGGGUGAAGUUGUAUGGAGCUGCACUAUUCUUAAACCCAAAUAGGAUCUAUGGUCUCAAAGCUAAGCCCGAGAAAGCACGAUAUUGUCAAAGGCUUAGGCAUAUGUUCAAUGAGGUGCUAUUGCACAUGGAGCCCGAUGAUGAUAAAGCAAGCGUGAUAAGUAGAUUGGCUGAUGACUAUGAAAGAGGUGAAGGUGAAUGCUUCAGCUCUAAGUUGGCAAUCAAUGACCGAACAAAAAAGAGUCCUCUUCUUUGGUGGGGUGCUUAUGGUGGCCUUGCUUAUGAGCUGCAACAUUUAGCAAAGCACAUAGUUAGCCAUUGUGCUUCAGCUUCCGGUUGCGAACGAAAUUGGUCUUGCUUUCAAAAUAUCCAUAGCAAAAAGAGAAAUAGGUUGGAGUUCCAAAGACUUAAUGAUUUGUCAUAUGUUCAAUACAACCGGAAGAAUGCCGAUAGGUUCCAAAAGAUUCGUGAGGAAGGCUCCAAAGGGACUAGGUCUGACCCAUUAGUCCUAGAAGACUUACAAUGGGACAAUGAAUGGGUUGACCAUAAUGCCCAGCCGGUUUAUGAAGGGGCUGAUAUCACUUGGGCUCAAGUUGACGAAGCUGUCGGUGCAUCUGAAGGUCCAUUGCGCAACCUUAGAAGCCGUGGGAGUGGGAGCCAGGCUGCUGUUACUCAUGUCUAUUCUCGAUCUCGAGUGCACCAAGUUGGAGAAGAUGAGGACGAGGAGGAUGAUGCAAAUCAGGAGGUUGAGCUUGAAGAUUAUUCAACAAGUGAAGAUGAUCAAGAGGGAAAUCAAGGUGAAGGUGAAGGUGGAGGUGAAGAGAGAGGCUCCAUUGGCUUUGAUGAUGAUCUGGAUUACUAG
rnacentral:rRNA from 1 species